AUGUAUUUAGAUUCUGACAGCUUCUACAUUUUCGAUGCAUCGGAAACAUCUUGGGACCACGCCUUUGAGGAAAACAUUCCCAAUGGAGUCAAUGAAGGCUUGCAGCGUCCAUCUUGGACGUUUCCAUGGCAACCGGUAGCAACAUCACCUGGAAAAGACUCUUUAUCGAUUGUUAACAUGUAUACCUCUAAGUUGAAACUAAAUAAACGUAACAAAUACUU
rnacentral:lncRNA from 1 species